GAAAAAGAAGGAAGUCACCAUGAAAUCGAAGCUGUUUCUCUCUUGGUGAACAUAUGAGGCAGCUCUCCUCCUCUUGAACUUGAUUAAGAGCCAGAAAGUUUUCCUCAGGGCUUGCGCGGGGGCACGUGUGUACAAACUGUGCACAUGUGUGUUGGUGUAUUGAUGUGUGUCUGAGUGUAUCUGAGGACAGAGGCUUGCUGCCUAUGUAUGCACGCACCCCACACCCUCACACGAGCUGCCGGGAGCAGAGCAGAUGAAAUAAGUCCGAGGAGCUGCUCCUCAGCUCAGCACCCCACCCUCAGCCCACUUGUCACCUCUCUCCACCCUUGGGGGCCGUUCGUUCGUUCAUUCGCUGCCAGGCAGCUGCAACCGUUGCUGACCCGCAGUGCCGGGGUCGCGAGGCUACUCCCAAGCCAAGAGGACACAAGCAGUGGCCUGGGUGACCGCCAAGCCCCCCGAAGUUCUAUCACGAGUAAACAGGGAGGCCCCUGAGUGUGCUGACCAGGACGCUCCCUCCAGCCGAUUUCCAGCUGCUCCCAAUGGCCGAAGUUCUUAACCUGGAGGUUGCUUUUAAGUCACUUUGGACUUCUACUGCUUCUCAGGCUUCAGUAUCCCCCGAAAAAUUUAAACCUGGCUCACUCCUCCCUAUUUUUCAUAGGAUGAGCCCCUCCUUCCCCUCCAGUGAAAGAACCCACUAAUUCACGAUAGAAACUGUCUCGUGGAAGCUAAUGCUCACAUAGGGCCCCCCGACUGGUCUUUACACCUUAAUCUUUUCCCCAGGAACUCCCCAACCAGUUCUUCCAGAAGCAAUCAUCUCCCUAUGCUCCUUGCAGCGAAGCCUCCUAGAUAAGAAAGAGACAGAAUUAGGGUUAAGAGGUUUAGGAAAGCAGGAAAGAAGAAGCCGAGGUGAUGAAAAGAGAGAUGAGCGAAGGAAGGGGUAAGAAAUCUUCGAAACAUUCCCUUUACCCAUCCCAGAGAAACUGAACACGGAAGAAAUGGAUCUGAACUCGAAAGAGCGCAGGUGUCAGUUGAUGCCGGACUUCCGCAGGACUGCGACUACCACUUGGCUUCCCGAGCUCCGCACUGAACGAGCUCGAAUAGUUUGAAGGCACCUGGGGUUCGUCCAGAGAGUCUAGGUGAAGGCUCCUCUUUCGCCCACGAAAUCAGUGGAGGAAGGGAAAACCUGCUAGUCCAAGAGCUUUGUAGACAAGGGGUCUCCGGCUGCGGAGAGAGUUUGAAAAGCGGGACACAUUCAAAAGGAGAUCCGAGCCUUGGGCUCCUACCUAGCCGGGAUGGGAUGGGCAAGGGGAAAGAGGGCAGGGAGAGGGGAUGAAAAUACCCGUAUUUCAAAAAUGCACACCCCUGCACACGCGCAUACACGGAGCGCCUGUGUACACUGCUCCGCGAACUCGCGGACGCCAAACCAAAAGAAGCUCAUUUGCUGGUGGUUUCGCGUCCGGGAGCGGAGAGCCAGGAAUAAGCGCCAAGCCGCAUGCUGUGCCGGGUCUGGGCCUCCAGGGGGAGCUGCAGCUCUUCCACCCGCUAGCCCGCCCGCUGAGUCUCGGGGUCGAACAAUUCCGCUUUACCCUAACGCAAGUGUCUACUCUUUCUCCCCAUCCCUGACCGAUAAAUUGGCUCUUAAUUUCCCUCCCAACUUCAUCCUCAGUGUACCCCUAUUUGAAAUCUAAUACCCCGAACUUCGCUGCCUUCCACUCCGUGUACCAACCCCCUCAUCUUUCCUCGUACUGUACGUCUCCUCAAACUGGGUUAGUCCAAAUGGGGGGAGAGGGCGUUUGGAGGGGUGAAGAGCAGCCCCCCAAGGCCACACUUGGAGCUCAAAAAUAAAGCCGUGAACACAA